rnacentral:rRNA from 1 species
UUGAAGGUUGGGUAACACUAACUGGAGGACCGAACCGACUAAUGUUGAAAAAUUAGCGGAUGACCUGUGGCUGGGGGUGAAAGGCCAAUCAAACCGGGAGAUAGCUGGUUCUCCCCGAAAGCUAUUUAGGUAGCGCCUCGUGAAUUCAUCUCCGGGGGUAGAGCACUGUUUCGGCUAGGGGGCCAUCCCGGCUUACCAACCCGAUGCAAACUGCGAAUACCGGAGAAUGUUAUCACGGGAGACACACGGCGGGUGCUAAUGUCCGUCGUGAAGAGGGAAACAACCCAGACCGCCAGCUAAGGUCCCAAAGUCAUGGUUAAGUGGGAAACGAUGUGGGAAGGCCCAGACAGCCAGGAUGUUGGCUUAGAAGCAGCCAUCAUUUAAAGAAAGCGUAAUAGCUCACUGGUCGAGUCGGCCUGCGCGGAAGAUGUAACGGGGCUAAACCAUGCACCGAAGCUGCGGCAGCGACACCGUGUGUUGUUGGGUAGGGGAGCGUUCUGUAAGCCUGUGAAGGUGUGCUGUGAGGCAUGCUGGAGGUAUCAGAAGUGCGAAUGCUGACAUAAGUAACGAUAAAGCGGGUGAAAAGCCCGCUCGCCGGAAGACCAAGGGUUCCUGUCCAACGUUAAUCGGGGCAGGGUGAGUCGACCCCUAAGGCGAGGCCGAAAGGCGUAGUCGAUGGGAAACGGGUUAAUAUUCCCGUACUUGGUGUUACUGCGAAGGGGGGACGGAGAAGGCUAUGUUGGCCGGGCGACGGUUGUCCCGGUUUAAGCGUGUAGGUAUGUGUUCCAGGUAAAUCCGGUUCACUUUAACACUGAGGCGUGACGACGAGGCACUACGGUGCUGAAGCAACAAAUGCCCUGCUUCCAGGAAAAGCCUCUAAGCAUCAGGUAACAUCAAAUCGUACCCCAAACCGACACAGGUGGUCAGGUAGAGAAUACCAAGGCGCUUGAGAGAACUCG